rnacentral:misc_RNA from 1 species
GAAAUGCGAUAAGUAAUGUGAAUUGCAGAAUUCAGUGAAUCAUCGAAUCUUUGAACGCACCUUUCGCUCCUUGGUAUUCCGAGGUGCAUGCCUGUUUGAGUGUCGUUAAAUUCUCAAUCUCACUAAUUUUUUUAAUGAGAGUUGUGGGCAGGCUUGGAUGUGUGGGUUUGCAGGUCCGCCUCUUGGUGGUCUGCUCCUCUGAAAUGCAUGAGUGGGUUGUGCCCCUAAUCUAUUGGUGUGAUAAUUAUCUACGCCGUGGAUCAGGUUGGCUACUAUAGACCUGCUUCUAACCGUCCGUCUCGGACAACUUUGACAUUUUUGACCUCAAAUCAGGUAAGACUACCCGCUGAACUUAA